rnacentral:rRNA from 1 species
UUUAAAGUCUGACCUGCCCUAUGAUAAAAUAUAUUUAUUAAAUGGCCGCGAUAUUUUGAUCGUGCAAAGGUAGCAUAAUAAUUAGUUUCUUAAUUGGGAACUGGAAUGAAAGGUCGAACGAGAAAAUUACUGUCUCAAUUUAAUUUAAAUUAGAAUUUUAUUUUUAAGUAAAAAAGCUUAAAUAAUUUUUAAAGACGAGAAGACCCUAUAGAGUUUUAUAUUUAUUGUAAUUAAUUUUAUUUUUAGUAUUUAAAUUUAAUAAUUUAUGUUAAGUAUUUGGUUGGGGUGAUUAAAAAAUUUAAUUAACUUUUUUUGAUAGAUAAACAUUGAUAUAUGAUUAUUUGAUCCAUAAAUUAUGAUUAAAAGAUUAAAUUACCUUAGGGAUAACAGCGUAAUUUUUUUUAAGAGUUCUUAUCGAAAAAAAAGUUUGCGACCUCGAUGUUGGAUUAAAAUUAAUUUUUGGUGUAGAAGCUAAAAAUAUUAGGUCUGUUCGACCUUUAAAAUUUUACAUGAUCUGAGUUUAAACCGGUGUAAGCCAGGUUGGUUUCUAUCUUAAAAAAAUUAAAAUAUUUUAGUACGAAAGGAUCAAAUAUUUAUAAUAAUUAUUAGUUUAGGAAUUUUAAUAAUUUUAAAA